rnacentral:rRNA from 1 species
GACGAACGCUGGCGGCGUGCUUAACACAUGCAAGUCGAACGAAGUGGCGCACGGGUGAGUAAUACGUGAGUAACCUGCCCUCCUUUUUGGGAUAAGCAUUGGCAACGGGGUCUAAUACCGAAUAAAGUGGGAUGGGCCCGCGGCCUAUCAGCUUGUUGGUGGGGUCAUGGCCUACCAAGGCGGUGACGGAUAGCCGGCCUGAGAGGGUGACCGGACACAGUGGGAGUGAGAUACGGCCCAGAUUCAGACGGGAGGCGGCGGUGGGGGAUAUUGCACAAGGGGCGAAAGCCGGAUGCGGCGAGGCCGCGUGGGGGAUGAAGGCUUUCGGGUUGUAAACCUCUUUCGCUAUCGAAAGGGUAGGUGGAGAAGAAGCACCGGCUAACUACGUGCCAGCAGCCGCGGUAAUUC